ACAGUCCAGGUCUCCAGAAAUAAACUAUUUCAAAAGACAUGAAAAUCUGAAAGGUGUGUUCUGUUGUGUUAACUAAUUAUUGUGGAAAGUAGAAAUCACAGUGGUGGUGAUGAUGAUGAUUGAUCGGUACUGGUAUCAGCAGUAAUGGCGCUGUGCGCACUUGGUAUCAGAUCGAUAACUACAGGCCGGGUCGCCUCCACAGGGGUGUGUCUGUGCCGAGCAGGGGGUCAGAAACUAUCCAACUGACUAGUUUUUUACAGCUUUGAGAGAUUUUUGCAGACAGUGAAGUUAACAUGAGAAAUAUUUGAAGGCCUGGAUCUUCUUGUUUGCGUCAUCAUUUAGCAGCCAAAACUCUCGGUCGGCAUCUUUGGCUGACUUUACCUCAUUUGUUCAAUAGACCAGCAAAAUAUAAAAAUGGUGUAAAUGGGCGUGACCUUUACCCUUUCUUCUUCUUUUAAAAUUUUUUUUAUUCCAUGCCUCUCUGUUAUCUAAAUAUCAUAAUCACAGAGGUGACUGUUGGGUUAAUUCUCACACUCGUCGGCGUAUGCGGGGCAUGAUUAAACAUCCUCGCCGACAAGUCAUUUGGGUGAGAACAAAAUUGGAGGCUGAGGCUGGCAUUAGCGGACCGAAGUCUUAGAGAGAUGAUGGCGGGGCGGGAUGGGUGAGAUGAGAAACACAGCACCUGGAGACUAAUUAGAUAUGACAUCCAGAGCCUGCUAUCAAUUUGUACCCUGCGCACACGAGCCCGGCCAGGACCGACCUCGACCAAGGGCGAGGCGGCGAGGGGGGCAAAUUAAAGGCCUGAGGUCGUACGCUGUGACGAGGUGCUGCCUGUUGUCCUCGCGUGCUCUGUCUUUGUCUUCAGGAGGAAGUGUGUGCUUUGCAGCCCAGUUCAAAUGACUAGAAGAUUGUAACUCAUCCCUGAACAUCGGCCAGAGCCAGAAAGCUGCAGCUCACCUGCAGAUGCUUCAAAUCGCUGCAGACUUUCUAACAAGGACAAAGUGCAGGUAGCACUUUACUCCAGUGCUGAGCCUCUCUCCGCUGGCAGCGACUACUGAUGUGCCUGGAGCUGCGCUGAAGAAGAAACUUUCCCAAGACACCAAUUUUAUCUUCACCCAUGAGCUGGCGCUUGCCUUCAUUUCAUUACCAAGGGAUCGGUGUUGGCUUAAUAACAUCAGGCCUGAAAUGUGCCCCUUUAACCCAAAUCAAGGCAGUGCUGGGGCACGAUACAGUCCAUCUACUUUCAUAACAACAUUUGGGAUGGCAUUCUCAGGAGGCUCCACUUAUCUUCUGCGUGUGCAUAUCAGUCAUUAGUUCAGCCUAAAAUAGUCUGCAGGGGCCACAUUAAAGAGAAAUCGUUGGAAAUGUAGCCUGAAGUUAACCUCGGGGAGUAAGAAGUCUCUGCAGAAUCAGAGCGGCUCUUCUUCAACUGUUAGAGGUAGCUGGAGUCACGUUACCCGUAACGCACCACAUCUCAUGGUUGAAUAAUGUUUGUACACACAGUGAAGUGCAUUCUUUCUAACAGCCAGCAGGGGGCGAAUCCCCUGACAGGUAAAAGAAUUCCUAAUUGUUGGCACGAAGAUCAGAAAAAGACUCUACUUCUCGUUUAGUUAAAGACGUGAUUAAACACACUCCUUGUCUUGAAAUGUUAAAUUAUGGUCUCAUGAAGAGCAAAGUAAGAGUCAGAUUCAGUUUACUGUCAUUGCAAUGAAGGCAGCAAAACAACAGAAUCACUCUGGGACCCACUGACGUGCAAAAUUUAAAGAUUUGUGCAAAAUGCAAAUCAUUUGAGUAUGCACAUAAAAAUAAAUAAGUGCAAAGAUAAGAAAAUUAUAAAACACAGUUUAGAAGUGCAGUUCACGAUCGUAUGUGCAGUUUAACGAUGUGACAUUAUCAGACAUCAGUUGUGUGUAGCAGCAGCAUUUAUUGAGUGUAAUGAGCCGUGAUGCUGUGUGCAGGUUGCGAUGUUUCCUGGAUGAUCAUGGAGGCCCCGCUGUAGUAGCGUGCCUCAUAUUUAUCCUCGCCUGAUGGCAGUUUGGUCCUGAUGACUUUUUGUGCCACCUUGAUGACCCUCUGCAGCGCGUUCUGGUCCUUCCUGUUGCUGCUCCCAUACUGGGACAGUUUUCCAGCAGACUUUGUUGGAAGUCCAGCCGCUGGUUUGCCGUCCUGCCUCUUCAUUGACGUACAGAGGACCUCGUCUGUUCUCUUGGACCGUCUGAAGUCUAACACAAUCUCCUUGGGUUUCAUCAUUAAGCGCACUUCACGAUAUCAUCACUAUGUGAUUGACGGGUUGCUUUUGUAUGUGCAUGUAUGUUCACGCAUUACAAGUGGAAUAAAAAACCCUCAAAAUGAUCUCAAUACAGAAAUCAAGGCUUUAAAAGAUCAGUGCUCUUUGCUCCAGUUGCUUUGUAUGAAUACCGGUCACAGAGGGGUCGGUGUGAGCGCAAGUUUAAGGUUCCUGCUUCUGUGACAUCAUCCAGACUCUGGGUUGGAAGUUAAUAAAAAAAUGAAGUGAAUGCGUCAGGGUCCUUAUUGCUUUUGGUGCAUUUUAUAUGUGCAUUUUUCUGGGAAUAAUCGAGCUGGGCGAUGGAAGCCUUUUUUCUCAUAU